rnacentral:rRNA from 1 species
GAGUUUGAUCCUGGCUCAGGAUGAACGCUAGCGGGAGGCUUAACACAUGCAAGUCGAGGGGUAUAAGUAGCAAUAUUUAGAGACCGGCGCACGGGUGAGUAACGCGUAUGCAACCUGCCCUUUACUAGGGGAUAGCCCGUAGAAAUGCGGAUUAAUACCCCAUAGUACUGUUAGACCGCAUGGUUUGACAGUUAAAGUUUCGGCGGUAAAGGAUGGGCAUGCGUGACAUUAGCUAGUUGGAGAGGUAACGGCUCACCAAGGCUACGAUGUCUAGGGGUUCUGAGAGGAAGAUCCCCCACACUGGUACUGAGACACGGACCAGACUCCUACGGGAGGCAGCAGUGAGGAAUAUUGGUCAAUGGGCGGGAGCCUGAACCAGCCAUCCCGCGUGCAGGAAGAAUGCCCUAUGGGUUGUAAACUGCCUUUUCGCAUGAAGAACAUUCCGCUCGUGAGCGGAACUGACGGUAAUGCGUGAAUAAGCACCGGCUAACUCCGUGCCAGCAGCCGCGGUAAUACGGAGGGUGCAAGCGUUAUCCGGAUUUAUUGGGUUUAAAGGGUGCGUAGGCGGUGAUUUAAGUCAGUGGUGAAAUCCUGCAGCUCAACUGUAGAACAGCCAUUGAAACUGAAUUACUUGAGUAAUCUUGAGGUAGGCGGAAUGUGUAGUGUAGCGGUGAAAUGCUUAGAUAUUACACAGAACACCGAUUGCGAAGGCAGCUUACUAAGGAUUUACUGACGCUGAUGCACGAAAGCGUGGGGAUCAAACAGGAUUAGAUACCCUGGUAGUCCACGCCGUAAACGAUGAUAACUCGCUGUUGG